GGGGAAGUACAUGUCAAUGUCACUAUAGAAAUGAAGCUGAAAACAUCUCCCUGUGGUGAUUUGUCCCCAUUUGGCCCUUAAGGUUUAUAAUGGGUAUUUAUUGCACGAAGAGUUUAAAGUGCAGGUGGAGAACCUGUGUCCCAGAACAUGUUACUGGACAUCUGGCUACAAUGUCUGGAGGGCCAGAGAUUUUCCAUUCCUACGAACAGCAAAUAAUAACUUGAAUCCCUGGAUUGCAAGCAAGAAGAGAAUUGGUCAUAAAUACUUCAAUACAAAUGGUGCCAGAUCCCAAAUCUUGGAAAUGAAUGCACAUGGAGCCAACAUGAACCUAUGAUGCUGGAUUACACAGACUGAGUCCUGUUUUUUUUCCUACAUGGUAACAGGCUUCUGCCAAAUGCUGGUAAUAGAUUAAAAGCAGCCCACAGGUGUGUACAAUUCGGCACUUUGCAUCACCAAGUUGGUUCUUUGAUGUCAAGAAUUAGGGAUAAGGCUACAGUCUCCAUUCACAGAUGUUCCCAUAUCCACACUUUCUGUCACAUACAUAUAAAAUAAAGGAAGCAAAGUGACAGUCUUUGGUAUGUCACAAUUGUAUGUCAUUUAAUUGGUCUUCCUUUCCAAUCCCAUUGAAAUAAAUGGAAGAUGCCCAGCAACAGUGCCUGGUGGAUUUUUCAGCUUCAUUUUGAUUGGAAUGAAAAUAGUUUCCGUGGAUAUAUUGUGUUGCUCUUACUUAAAACACUCCAUUCUUCAGCAGUUAGAUUAUCUUUAGCAUGAGAUGGCAUAAUAGUUACAUUUAUUUAUAUAUGAAAAGUCUUCCCUUAAAUUUCUCUGAGAAUUGGAUCUGGCUGGGUAAGCCACAGCUUUGAUUGUUUUAG